AGAGUUUGAUCAUGGCUCAGAUUGAACGCUGGC
rnacentral:rRNA from 1 species